GGUCGAAUAGCCUAGUCAGGUUUAAGGCAGUAGUUUGCUAAACUAUCAGUUAAUAAAUUAACUCGUGGGUUCGAAUCCCACUUCGACUU
rnacentral:tRNA from 1 species